ensembl:lncRNA
CAAACUCCUGUAAUGAGUGCAUUUCAGCACUUCUAGGUCUUUCUUCUAGUUGUUUUGAAUGUGAAAAACAACAUUUUUACGUAAAUCAUUAUAUGUAGUUAUUAUUUUAAUUAAUUUGCAUACAAGUGUGUUCCUGGUAUUUGAUCACUUAUCGUCUUUAUUUGUUCUCCUGUCACUUUAACGUGGUGUUCACGUGCUGGAGAAGUGUGUCACGUGAGGCCCAGUGGACAGGCGCUGCUGUUGUCAUUGUGUUUGCACGACGUUUUAGGAAAUGUUUUCUGUUUAAGUUAUCCACAAGCAGGAUCAGGAGAAAUAUGGAUUACUCAUAGUGGAGUAGAAUCAGUGACCAAAUGCCACAUUCACCUCAGAAAACGAGGAAGCUCCAGCAGGUCAUUUCACAGCCAAAGCCACCGGUGGUCCGGAGAUCCUUCCGGAGCAGAUGCACAAACGGGAAAUUAACAACAAGCACUUACUCGAGAAUAUGAUGGAAAUCUGCCUGGCAAAACUACAUCUAUCUCAGCAGUUCAUCAGCGGUAUUGUGUGAGAGAGCAUGUGUGUGUGUGUGUGUGUGUGUGUUUGUGUGUGUGUGUGUCGAGCGCUGGUUUGUUUUCAUGCCCUGUAAUUUGGACCCUUGAGAAUUCUUUUCAAAAUCCUUGUUCCUAAUGCUUGAAUUGGGCUCUGAAGCAGCCAAUCAGGAUGUGCCUCAGAAUAAUGCCAGCAAUCUUGUGUCUGUCAAUUCUGACAUCCAGCAAAUGUGCCUAUUUUCUUCUUCAGCAGGAUUGAGCCCAUUUCCUUCCAUCUUGCGCCAGGUCAAUUAAAUCCGGCAUGGGCCGCCGCUUGUGCUCAAAUCAUUUGGUACGUGACGAGUUUGCCAUACAAAUGGGUUUGGUCUGGAUUCAGAAUUCAGAUUUGUUCCUUUCUUUAUUAUUUAUUAUUGUCAUAGCAUAGGUGACAUCUACCAGUGCAUAUAGGAAAGGAGUCCAUGGUUUCUUUCUAAAAACUACACUCUUAAAAAUAAGUAAGAAGAGCCAUUUUUGGGUUGGUAAAGAACCUUUUUGUAAACUGUUGUUAAAUGCAUGUUAAAGGUUCUUCAUUGAACCAUCGAUGCCAAUAAAAAGUGUUUAUUUUUAGGGGCUGCCUACAUAGCCAUUGUUUUUAAUGCAUCAUAAGUAGGAUGUUCCAAACUACAUGUUGCCUUCUAAGAAAUCCUCUUUCAGGACACAUUAUUGGUAGCAGCACUAUAGUAUUGAAUAAAAAGUAACAUAUAGUGCAAAUAGAUGCUGUUUAGACAAAGGGUAGUUAUAACUGAUAUAUGCUCUUUGUAUUAAAGGUAACAAAUCUGAGCAACAGUGGCUGGAUUGAUCUGGGAUGUUAUAAUUAAGCAAAAUAAAUAAAUAAAAAAAGUUUUACAUUCAGUUACUUGAAAUAAACUCAAACUGGAAAAUUACAAAAAAAGUAAACUAAAAUUAAAAUGAAACCAAAAUAUAAAAAUGACUAAUUCAAAAUAAAAAAUUAUAAUGAAAAGCACACAAUGAAAUUACUAAAACUUUAGCUAAAAUUGAAAAAAGAAAAAAAUGACUAACUCAAAAUAAAAAACUAAUAAAAAUUACAAACACAACUAACUUACUAAAAGUAACAAAUUAAAAUAGAAACAAAAUAUAAAAAUUACUAAUUCUGACCAAAAUGACAAAAACAACAAAAUUACUACAAUUUUAACUAAAAUGAAAACAGAAAAAAAUGACUCAUUCGAAGAGAACUAAUACAAAUGACUAAAACAGACAAAAUAAAUGACUAAAUUUAAAAAAACAAAAAAACAAAACAUGAAUGUCACUAAUGAAAAAAAUCAUAAUAUUAAUACAAACUAUAAUAGUAUCUCACUCUACUAAAAUAACACUGUGUAUAUUUUCAUAAAUCACUACCUCAUAAAAUUGGGAAAAAGACUUUGUAAAUUAUUUUUUAUUUUAUUUUUAUUAAUUUUUUGCUAUUUAAACAAACACUAUGUGUCCCUCAUAGUGAAAUCAGUAAUGCAUUGCAAUGAGUGAAAAAUCUAAUGAAAACAAUGAACAAAGAAAAUAAUUAUUAUUAAUAAACUUGCAUUUCAUUCACUACAAAAAAAAGUGUCAGAGAACAGUUCAAUUGAAUUAAGAAUGCACAGUUUUACCCAACAUUCAUGUGCACUAGAUAUUUUUCUUUAUAGUUAGCUUAGUAUGCUGAUGCCCCAGAUCUACUGAAAUCAAAUGUGAGUCGAGUCUCUCUGAUGCUGUCAAGUGGUUUCACAUGCAGAGUGUCCUAAAUCAGUUCAGAUGCUCCCUUAGAAGGCAGCUGCCUAUGUAGGGAGCUCACUAGGGUUUAGAACACAUCCACAUUUCUUCUCCAGCAGCUUUGAUAUAUAUAUAGUGCUCUACUAAUAUCAGUCUUUCUAAGACCAAAGGUUUACAUGUGACAUCAUGCAUAAAAACUCUGCGUUUGUAUCUAAGAGAAACGUCAGCUUGACUUAAUGUUCGGCUGAUUUUUAUUGGAUUUUGCUGUUUACCACUUUGAAUGUUAAAAAACCCAAAGCGGCUCAUUUAUAUU